rnacentral:pre_miRNA from 1 species
AGUGGAAUUGUUGAGUCACAUGGUAUGGGUAUGUUUAACUUUAUAAGAAAUUGUCAAAAUGUUUUCUAAAGUGGGCUGUACCAUUUUGCAUUUCCACCAGCAAU